rnacentral:rRNA from 1 species
CCUACGGGGGGCAGCAGUGAGGAAUAUUGGUCAAUGGCCGGAAGGCUGAACCAGCCAUGCCGCGUGAAGGUCAGUGCCCUAUGGGCGUUAAACUUCUUUUGUGCGGGAGCAAUAAUGGUCACGUGUGGCCAGACGCGAGUACCGUACGAAUAAGCAUCGGCUAAGUCCGUGCCAGCAGCCGCGGUAUUACGGGGGAUGCAAGCGUUAUCGGGAUUUAUGGGGGUAAAGGGGGCCGUGGGGGGUUGUUUAUGCUGGUGGUAAAACGUCGGGGCUUCACCUUGAUUUGCCAUUGAUACUGUAAGGCUGGAGUGCAGACGAGGUAGGCGGAAUAAGUUAAGUAGCGGUGAAAUGCUUAGAUAUUACGAAGAACUCCAGUAGCGAAGGCAGCUUACCAGACUGUGACUGACGCUGAGGCACGAGAGCGUGGGUAGCGAACAGGAUUAGAUACCCGGGUAGUC